rnacentral:tRNA from 1 species
GUGCUGGUGGGGGACGGUUGAUGGGCCGGAGGGUGGUUGCCUCCGGCAUCUGGGUCGCCGGUGCUGUUCGGGGUGUUCGAGUCCCCUCCGGAGCUC